CCUACGGGCGGCAGCAGUGAGGAAUAUUGGACAAUGGGGGAAACCCUGAUCCAGCGACGCCGCGUGAGGGAAGACGUAUUUCGGUACUUUAAGCUGUAUCAGCAGGAAAGUAAAUGACGGUACCUGACUAAGAAGCAGCGGCUAACUACGUGCCAGAAGCCGCGGUAAUACGUGGGGGGCACGCGUGAUCCGGAUUUACUGGGUGUAAAGGGAGCGUAGACGGCAGCGCAAGUCUGCAGUGAAAGGCCGGGGCCCAACCCCGGAACUGCUGUUGAAACUGUGAAGCUGGAGUGCAGGAGGGGUAAGCGGAAUUCCUGGUGUAGCGGUGAAAUGCUUAGAUAUCAGGAGGAACACCGGUGGCGAAGGCGGCUUACUGGACUGCAACUGACGUUGAGGCUCGAAGGCGUGGGGAGCAAACAGGAUUAGAUACCCCAGUAGUC
rnacentral:rRNA from 1 species